GAUUUUUGAUGUGGUGGAAUCCAUAUAAGAUAAAGUCCAGCACAAAAAUGUUCAACACUUACUUCAGACACCUUUAGACCAUAGAUAAACUGUAAUAUACUGUAGUCUACACAUUGACAAGUCCUGAGUCACUUAAAUCUCCAGCUAUAAGGAUAGCGGAAGCUGCAUCGUGGGCCUCCUUUAAGCUAGAUGCUACUUUCCUUUGUCCAAACAUAUAAAAGAGACGCCUAAGUUCGCCAUAAAAUGUACUACUUAUCCAUGGACAGAGUCUUCAACUCUUAAUUCUCUCAGAAAAAUAUGCAUCAUGAAGUGUACUACUUCCCAACACAAGAAUGAAAAUUGUAAACUAUGCUCUUUUAAGUGCAAAAUUAUAACUUUCCACAUCCAACCCAAAUUAAAAAUAGCUUCUAUGAUCAGAAUGUUCUCCCAUUGUGAUGUAGAAGAAAGCAAAAUAAAACCAUCAAACUCUAACAUCAGGCAACAAAUCAACAAACAAAAGCAAAUAUCUACCUUAUUGAAGUAUGCCAGCAUAUCUGUAAAGAGCUGUUGCUGGGAAGUGUGGACAUGUGAUUCCUAAGGAAAAAGAGCUAAGCAUUCAACUGUUCUCCAGAAAACGAAAAACAAAAAUAUCACAGGAAAUGAAAUCUAUGAAGUUAAAACAUGCAUGGAGGUAAGAGAGCGGAUGUUGAAUAAGAACCAUGGGGAUUACUGAGUGGCUAAGGUAUAGGAGCAAUAACCUGGAGACAGUGGCAGAUCCAAGAUUAAGGGGGAGUGGGUGCUUGUGAGGUUCGAACACAUAUAUUGACGCCCAAAGCUUUAAGAUUUCUCCUGAAAACCAAAGCACCUAGCUAUCUUCUUGGUUUUUUUGGGUGUUUUUUGGAAGCUUAUACCAAUUUUUAUACUUCUUUUAUAUAAUUAUACCUAGUUUGCAUGGCCAGGUCUCAAAUUUGAAUUCCAGUUACAGAACUCAAUGAGUGUCCAUCUGGUCUAAUCUAGUGCACAGAUUUUCUGGAAACUGUGCUUUUUAAAUGAAGCUAGCUUCCCAGUUUAUUAAUUGAUGUACAUAAAGGUUGCUCUGAGUGCCACUCCAUUAAAAAAAAAACACAAAAAAUCAUGUCAAAGCGGCAGAGACAUAAUCUUCCAUCAUAGCUCAAUACAAUUAGCCAAAAAAUUAGACAGUCAUUUUUAUUAUAUCUCCCUGCAUAUAUAUCAACUAAGCCUUUCUCGAUCACUUCAAUAAAAUUAAGACAAAAUCUCCAUCUCAGCUUCCACCUAUAUAUCAAUAUUUGCAUCUUGAGAUCUACCUGUAAAAGCACUUGCUUACAACAUUACUAUUUGUACUUAAGCACUUAGCUUUGAAUAACCAAUUUUCAAAAACUUCCCCAUAGUAUCAUCUCCCUCUUCCUCCACAAAGUACCAGGAGCGAUCCCCCAGAGCCAAGAUUCCUCAUUGACAAGUCUGAUGUUCACUAAUCACUAGCACCAUAAUUAAGUGAAUAACAAUCUAAAGCCAUUACAGGGAAUGUAAUACAACAAAUGAGUUUGGAGCAAUUCAUAUACUAGAGCAAGCC
rnacentral:lncRNA from 1 species